ACUCAAAUGAAUUGACGGGGACUUGCACAAGCAGAGGAUUAUGAGGUUUAAUUCGAUGACAAACGAAGAACCUUACCAGGGUUGGAAAUCUACACGACAUCUCUAUGAAAGUAGAGCUCCGCAAGGCGAGUAGACAGGUGUUGCAUGGCCGUCGUCAGUUCGUGGUUUGAACUGUUCCCUUAAGUGGGGUAACGAACGCAACCCACGUUGCCAGUUAUAUAUGUCUGGCGAGACUGCCCCGUGACUUGAGUACGAAGUAAAUUUUACUUCGCGCGUAAGUUACGGGGAGGAAGGCGUGGAUGACGCCAGGUCAGCAUGGCCCUUUGAUACCCUGGGCCACACUCAUAAUACAAUCGCCGCUACAACACGACGCAAUAUCGCAAGAUGGAGCAAAUCGUUAGAAAAGCGGCGCCAGUUCGGAUCGGAGUCUGCAACUCGACUCCGUGAAGCCGGAUUUGCUAGUAAUCGCGGGUCAGCCAUACCGCGGUGAAUACGUUCUCAAGUCUUGUACACACCGCCCGU
rnacentral:rRNA from 1 species